UACGUAGGUGGCAAGCGUUGUUCGGAAUUAUUGGGCGUAAAGGGCGCGUAGGCGGCUUGUUAAGUCGGCUGUGAAAGCCCGGGGCUCAACCCCGGAGGGUCAGCCGAUACUGGCAGGCUAGAGUACGGAAGAGGUAGCUGGAAUUCCCAGUGUAGCGGUGAAAUGCGUAGAUAUCGGGAGGAACACCUGAGGCGAAGGCGGGUCUCUGGGCCGAAAUUGACGCUGAGGAGCGAAAGCGUGGGGAGCAAACAGG
rnacentral:rRNA from 1 species